CGAGGAAAAGAAAUCAACCGAGAUUCCCCCAGUAGCGGCGAGCGAACGGGGAGGAGCCCAGAGCCUGAAUCAGUGUGUGUGUUAGUGGAAGCGUCUGGAAAGGCGCGCGAUACAGGGUGACAGCCCCGUACACAAAAAUGCACAUAUUGUGAGCUCGAUGAGUAGGGCGGGACACGUGGUAUCCUGUCUGAAUAUGGGGGGACCAUCCUCCAAGGCUAAAUACUCCUGACUGACCGAUAGUGAACCAGUACCGUGAGGGAAAGGCGAAAAGAACCCCGGCGAGGGGAGUGAAAAAGAACCUGAAACCGUGUACGUACAAGCAGUGGGAGCCUCUUAAUGGGGUGACUGCGUACCUUUUGUAUAAUGGGUCAGCGACUUAUAUUCUGUAGCAAGGUUAACCGAAUAGGGGAGCCGAAGGGAAACCGAGUCUUAACUGGGCGUUAAGUUGCAGGGUAUAGACCCGAAACCCGGUGAUCUAGCCAUGGGCAGGUUGAAGGUUGGGUAACACUAACUGGAGGACCGAACCGACUAAUGUUGAAAAAUUAGCGGAUGACUUGUGGCUGGGGGUGAAAGGCCAAUCAAACCGGGAGAUAGCUGGUUCUCCCCGAAAGCUAUUUAGGUAGCGCCUCGUGAAUUCAUCUCCGGGGGUAG
rnacentral:rRNA from 1 species